rnacentral:lncRNA from 1 species
CUCAGGUGCUACGUGAGUCUCCUGAAGGCAGCAGGUAGUUGGUUGGACCCAACCAACAACCAACUCUGGAGUCCUUCUGGGGGAGCCUCAGCAAGUUACUUCAACUCCCUGAACCUCGAUUUUCUCGUCUGUAAAAGGGGCAUAAUAGCAGCACUUCCAUAUAGAGCUAUAAAUGAACUAGUAAUCAACAUAAUGUACAUCGUUUUGCCUUCAUGGACUUCACAUCCUGGCUAAACUGAGUGACUCGCAGGCCCACAUGGUGAGAAAUUGAAGGUUCUUGCAAAGUCACAUGAAUGAGCUCGGAAAAGGAAUCUUCAGCCUAGUCAAGCCUCAGAGACUGCAGCCCCGGUCAACAGCUUGACUUGAGAGUUUCCAAGUCAGAACCACCCAGCUAAGUUGCUCUUGGAUUCUUUACCCACAAAAACUGUGAACGUUAAAUGUGUGUUGUUUUAAGCAGCAAAGUUUGAAUUCAUUAAAUAAUGCAGGCAUCUUUGGUGUUACUUGGCAGAAAGAGGCAACUCCCAUAUUGUUACUCAUAUAUUACAAGUGCACUUCUUCAUCAAUGUUCCCUAAUUACUCUCCACACAGCCUCCUGAAUUAAAACGUGG